rnacentral:rRNA from 1 species
GGACUACCGGGGUUUCUAAUCCUGUUUGCUCCCCACGCUUUCGCGCCUCAGUGUCAGUAUUGGUCCAGGAAGCCGCCUUCGCCACUGGUGUUCCUUCCGAUAUCUACGCAUUUCACCGCUACACCGGAAAUUCCACUUCCCUCUACCAUACUCUAGAUAUCCAGUAUCAGAUGCAGUUCCCAGGUUAAGCCCAGGGAUUUCACAACUAACUUAAAUAUCCACCUACGCGCACUUUACGCCCAGUAAAUCUGAUUAACGCUCGCACUCUCUGUAUUACCGCGGCUGCUGGCAC